UUUGUCAUUUUUAGCUCACCUGGCCCGAAGGGCCAAGUGAGCUUUUCUCAUCACUUGGCGUCCGUCGUCCGUCGUCCGGCGUCGUCCGUCGUCGGCGUUAACUUUUUACAUUUUGAACUUCUUCUAGAGAACCACUGAAUGGAAUGAAACCAAACAUGGCAUGAAUGUUCCUUAUGAGGUGCUGACCAAGUGUUGUUACUUUGUAGCGGAUCCAUCAUCCAAGAUGGCCGCCAGCGGGGGACUUAGUUUAACAUAGGACCCUAUGGGAAAUGCAUACAAAUGUCUUCUUUUAGAGAACCACUGAAUGGAAUGAAACCAAACAUGGCAUGAAUGUUUCUUAUGAGGUGCUGACCAAGUGUUGUUACUUUGUAGCGGAUCCAUCAUCCAAGAUGGCCCCCAGCGGGGGACUUAGUUUAACAUAGGACCCUAUGGGAAAUGCAUACAAAUGUCUUCUUUUAGAGAAACACUGAAUGGAAUGAAACCAAACAUGGCAUGAAUGUAUCUUAUGAGGUGCUGACCGAGUGUUGUUACUUUGAAGCCAAUCCAUAAUCCAAGAUGGCCGCCAGCGGGGGACUUAGUUUAACAUAGGACCCUAUGGGAAAUACAUACAAAUGUCUUCUUUUAGAGAACCACUGAAUGGAAUGAAACCAAACAUGGUAUGAAUGUUCCUUAUGAGGUGCUGACCUAGUGUUGUUACUUUGAAGCCGAUCCAUAAUCCAAGAUUGCCGCCAGCGGGGGACUUAGUUUAACAUGGGACCCUAUGGGAAAUACAUACAAAUGUCUUCUUUUAGAGAACCACUGAAUGGAAUGAAACCAAACAUGGCAUGAAUGUUUCUUAUGAGGUGCUGACCGAGUGUUGUUACUUUAAAGCCGAUCCAUAAUCCAAGAUGGCCGCCUGCAGGGGACUUAGUUUAACAUGGGACCCUAUGAGAAAUACAUACAAAUGUCUUCUUUUAGAGAACCACUGAAUGGAAUGAAACCAAACAUGGCAUGAAUGUUCCUUAUGAGGUGCUGACCAAGUGUUGUUACUUUAAAGCCGAUCCAUAAUCCAAGAUGGCCGCCUGCAGGGGACUUAGUUUAACAUGGGACCCUAUGAGAAAUACAUACAAAUGUCUUCUUUUAGAGAACCACUGAAUGGAAUGAAACCAAACAUGGCAUGAAUGUUUCUUAUGAGGUGCUGACCGAGUGUUGUUACUUUGAAGCCGAUCCAUAAUCCAAGAUGGCUGCCAGCGGGGGACUUAGUUUAACAUGGGACCCUAUGGGAAAUACAUACAAAUGUCUUCUUUUAGAGAACCACUGAAUGGAAUGAAACCAAACAUGGCAUGAAUGUUUCUUAUGAGGUGCUGACCGAGUGUUGUUACUUUGUAGCGGAUCCAUCAUCCAAGAUGGCCGCCAGCGGGGGACUUAGUUUAACAUGGGACCCUAUGGGAAAUGCAUACAAAUGUCUUCUUUUAGAGAACCACUGAAAGGAUUGAAACCAAACAUGGCAUGAAUGUUUCUUAUGAGGUGCUGACCUAGUGUUGUUACUUUGAAGCCGAUCCAUAAUCCAAGAUGGCUGCCAGCAGGGGACUUAGUUUAACAUAGGACCCUAUGGGAAAUACAUACAAAUAUCUUCUUUUAGAGAACCACUGAAUGCAAUGAAACCAAACAUGGCAUGAAUGUUCCUUAUGAGGUGCUGACCAAGUGUUGUUACUAUGAAGCUGAUCCAUAAUCUAAGAUAGCUGCCAGCGGAGGACUUAGUUUAACAUAGGACCCUAUGAGAAAUACGUACAAAUGUUUUCUUUUAGAGAACCAUUGAAUGGAAUGAAACCAAACAUGGCAUGCAUGUUCCUUUUGAGGUGCUGACCAAGUGUUGUUACUUUGAAGCUGAUCCUUCAUCCAUGAUGGCUGCCAGAUGGGGACAAUGUUUAACAAAGGAUCCUAUGGACAAUACAUACAAAUGUCUUCUUUUAGAGAACCACAUACUGAAUGGAUUGAAACCAAA